CUCUCGGCAACGGAUAUCUAGGCUCUCGCAUCGAUGAAGAACGUAGCGAAAUGCGAUACUUGGUGUGAAUUGCAGAAUCCCGCGAAUCAUCGAGUUUUUGAACGCAAGUUGCGCCCGAAGCCACUCGGCCGAGGGCACGUCUGCCUGGGUGUCACGCAUCGUUGCC
rnacentral:rRNA from 4 species